GAUGAACGCUGGCGGCGUGCUUAAUACAUGCAAGUCGAACGAAGCACCUUGGACAGAAUCCUUCGGGAGGAAGACCAUUGUGACUGAGUGGCGGACGGGUGAGUAACGCGUGGGUAACCUGCCUUGUACAGGGGGAUAACAGUUGGAAACGACUGCUAAUACCGCAUAAGCGCACAGUACCGCAUGGUACGGUGUGAAAAACUCCGGUGGUACAAGAUGGACCCGCGUCUGAUUAGCUUGUUGGUGAGGUAACGGCCCACCAAGGCGACGAUCAGUAGCCGACUUGAGAGAGUGAUCGGCCACAUUGGGACUGAGACACGGCCCAAACUCCUACGGGAGGCAGCAGUAGGGAAUCUUCCGCAAAUGGGCGAAAGCCUGACGGAGCAACGCCGCGUGAGUGAUGACGGCCU
rnacentral:rRNA from 1 species